GGGGGGGGGGGGGGGGGGGGGGGGGGGGGGGGAGGCGGGCGGGCGGGGGGGGGGCUUGCUCCUCUGACGUUAGCGGCGGACGGGUGAGUAACACGUGGAUAACCUACCUAUAAGACUUGGAUAACUUCGGGAAACCGGAGCUAAUACCGGAUAAUAUCUUUAACCGCAUGGUUCCAUAGUGAAAGACGGUUUUGCGUUCACUUAUAGAUGGAUCCGCGCCGCAUUAGCUAGUUGGGAAGGUAACGGCUUACCAAGGCAACGAUGCGUAGCCGACCUGAGAGGGUGAUCGGCCACACUGGAACUGAGACACGGUCCAGACUCCGACGGGAGGCAGCAGUAGGGAAUCUUCCGCAAUGGGCGAAAGCCUGACGGAGCAACGCCGCGUGAGUGAUGAAGGUCUUCGGAUCGUAAAACUCUGUUAUUAGGGAAGAACAAAUGUGUAAGUAACUAUGCACGUCUUGACGGUACCUAAUCAGAAAGCCACGGCUAACUACGUG
rnacentral:rRNA from 1 species